GAGCAGUCAACAUGUAGCAGACAAAGGAGUUGCAGGUCCAGCAUUCCCCGAACCCAGGACCACUGUUUCAGGAAUAGAACCACUCACAAUGGAAUGAGCUCUCCCGUGUCAAUCACAAAUUAAGAAAAUGUUUCACAGUUGUAUCUUAUGGAGCUCUUUUGUCAGUGGUAUGUAUUUCCACUGAUUGUGUUUUCUUGUCAUUUAAGAUGUUUUCCCCAACCUUGAGUGCCACAGAAGCUGCUUCAUACAGUAAAUGUUGAUUAAUACAUAGACCUACACUUGGACAAUGUGCAGACAAUGAAAUGCUUAUGUAUUCAACCAAGAUUAAUCAUCAAAAACUCGUGAUAUGCUACCCAUGCUCCAGUGAAUGGUUCUAUACCCAUGAACAUAUAAAAAGCACUAAACGAAC
rnacentral:lncRNA from 1 species